rnacentral:rRNA from 1 species
CCUCCAAGGCUAAAUACUACCUAGGGACCGAUAGCGUAUAGUACCGUGAGGGAAAGGUGAAAAGAACCCCGGGAGGGGAGUGAAAUAGAACCUGAAACCCUGCACUUACAAGCUGUGGAAGCACAUUGCUUGUGUGACCGCGUACUUUUUGUAGAACGGGCCAACGAGUUACGUUAAGUAGCAAGGUUAAGCACUUAAGGUGCGGAGCCGUAGCGAAAGCGAGUUUUAACUGAGCGUUCAGUUACUUGACGUAGA